ACAGAUUUGUAUUUGAGAGUUGAGAGGAUGUGAUCUCCUCUUGUACUUAUUUUCUUCUUCUAUAGUAAAGCUUAUAUGCCCCGUGGAGGUAAGCCUUGGACUUAUCCAUAUAUUUGAUUGUGUCCUUUAUUUUAUCUCUUCUUUCUUUCUAUUGUGAUGUCGACACCAUCACCGACAUUAAGAUCCUGGGUGGGGGGAUUCAUAUUUCACACUCAUGAGGGAUCCUUCCCCAACAAGUGGUGUCAAAGUGCUAGGUUGUCUAGAUUACGGCAGU
rnacentral:lncRNA from 1 species